rnacentral:rRNA from 1 species
AGAGUUUGAUCCUGGCUCAGAUUGAACGCUGGCGGCAUGCCUUACACAUGCAAGUCGAACGGCAGCACGGGAGCAAUCCUGGUGGCGAGUGGCGAACGGGUGAGUAAUAUAUCGGAACGUACCUUUCAGUGGGGGAUAACGUAGCGAAAGUUACGCUAAUACCGCAUAUUCUGUGAGCAGGAAAGCAGGGGAUCGCAAGACCUUGCGCUGAUUGAGCGGCCGAUAUCAGAUUAGCUAGUUGGUGAGGUAAAGGCUCACCAAGGCGACGAUCUGUAGCGGGUCUGAGAGGAUGAUCCGCCACACUGGAACUGAGACACGGUCCGGACUCCUACGGGAGGCAGCAGUGGGGAAUUUUGGACAAUGGGGGCAACCCUGAUCCAGCCAUGCCGCGUGAGUGGAGAAGGCCUUCGGGUUGUAAAGCUCUUUCAGCCGGGAAGAAAACGCAUGGGUUAAUACCCUGUGUGGAUGACGGUACCGGAAUAAGAAGCACCGGCUAACUACGUGCCAGCAGCCGCGGUAAUACGUAGGGUGCGAGCGUUAAUCGGAAUUACUGGGCGUAAAGCGUGCGCAGGCGGUUUUUUAAGCCAGAUGUGAAAUCCCCGGGCUUAACCUGGGAACUGCAUUUGGAACUGGAAGACUAGAGUGUAGCAGAGGGGGGUAGAAUUCCACGUGUAGCAGUGAAAUGCGUAGAUAUGUGGAGGAAUACCGAUGGCGAAGGCAGCCCCCUGGGUUAACACUGACGCUCAUGCACGAAAGCGUGGGGAGCAAACAGGAUUAGAUACCCUGGUAGUCCACGCCCUAAACGAUGUCAACUAGGUGUUGGGGGAGGAGACUUCCUUAGUACCGCAGCUAACGCGUGAAGUUGACCGCCUGGUGUGUACGGUCGCAAGAUUAAAACUCAAAGGAAUUGACGG